GAGACUACCGUGAGUCUGCAGCGUUUUAUCUCCUUUUCCUUCGUUAACUCUCCUUUGGCGCAGAUAACGUGGCGACCACUUGUUUACUUCCGAGGAGAGACAGUUUCCCAGAGACUAUGGGUUGAGGAGGAAUUGGAAGUUUGUCGGCUUAGACCUGGUGUCAUUCCAUCAGUGUUAAACUUCCCGGCUCAUCUUGGAAGAGUACGUGCCAGAAAGACCACGACCAAGCAGCCUUGAGAUCUUAGGCAGCGUCUCCCUCAGACCAAAGAACUACAGAUUCUUCACAACCUGCUCAAACUCUUGGUACAGGACCUCACCACACAGGUCAAGAACGUUUCCAUCUCAUUUCUACUCUGAAGCUCACCUUCUCCUGCUCAAACUACUGACAAAUGUUUCUGCUGCUCUAAAGUCUGGUCUCCAGAACUUCCUAAAAACUCUCAAAGUCUCUUCUGCUGCAGGUUGCUUUGUAGAACUGUUGCAGAAAACCUCACUAAACCACAUGGAGGGGCCUCAAGAUAGUCGUCCAAAUUAAACCGUACAAAAACCAAACUAGCACAACCCAAACUCUAAAGUCUCCUGCAGCCUACCAGAGAACCUCUGAGAACAGAGAAUCAGGACAGGAACUCUUACCUUCUGGACAAUCAACAUCGGUUCUCAAACAAGAACACAGAAUGUGUCUGACCAAAAACCUCUAAAGACUCACUACAGCCAAGAUAAAGACACAACUCAACUGUACCAAAUCCACUAAUCACUGCACACAUUAGCACCAUAAGCUAACUGUGGCUAAAGAACCACCUUUACCAAAACAACUAUCCAGUACAAAGCCCUAAAACACACCAAGAAACACAUUAAAGACGAUUUUACUGCUGGAAGCUGCAAGCCAACGCCUAAAGAACAAACUAAAGCAAUGGAGCCAAACCCAGUUCAGUGGUGAAGAGAAGCAGAGGAAAUGUUUGUCUGCAGCUAAAUAAAGCAGGAAGACACUGAGCUGCUCAGGUGUUCCUGAUAACACUGAGCUGCUCAGGUGUUCCUAAUAACACCAAGCAACCACCUGGACAGCCAAUAGGAACACAGCUUACUGGGAGUCCAGAGGGCUGGCUUAGUGAAGGAAAUUUAGUUUAAAGUUGAAGCAGAAAGUUAACAAAGAAAGUUGAAAACCACCUUCUGAUACCUGAAAUCUCUGAGUUUUCACACAAAGAACACCUGAACAUGUCAAACUGGUUCCAUAGUAGAACCAUCAUUGUAAAAACAUCAUAGUAUGGUGUGUUGCUCAAAAAACAUUAGGACCCAGCUGUCAGGGGACAAACAUGUAAGAAACAUGAGAACAGAGAGAACCCAACCAGUAGAUCACAGUUUAUCAUCAUCUAAUCAUCUCCUGAAGUCCAUAUGGUGAGAGACAUCAGUAUCUGGUUGUUAAUUUACCAGAGGAUGCUUAUAAUCAUGCUGAUGUGGUCUGUACUCUACAGUAUUUUAGUGACUCAAUAAAUGCCUAAGUUGUUUUUUUUUAAUGCUUUUCAGUUUUUAAUAAACAUUUAAGAGCCUAUAUGUAAUCAAUAAGUGGCCUUUGCCUAUCUUAAGAAAAACUCACUCAGAACUCUGAUAUGUUAACAGUACUAAAUACAUCAAUAAAUACAUGCAUACACACAAAAAUAAGUCAAUACAUUAACUGUGUUAAGAUAAGAUUUAGAUUUUUUUAAAAAAAAAAGUUGUUUAUGUUUUUGCAGAAUCCAGUAUUGCUCACUGGUUGGUCAUUACAUUUUAUUAGUUUGAUUUCACUGUUUAAAAUGAUGCCACCUCUUUUCAGACAGAACCUGUGAUAAUAAAACAAUACAAAAUUUUUAGUUCCGUGUUAAUAAAGCACUUAAAGCUGUAAGUAUGGCUAAAUGCUUUUUUCAGAAUUAAAUAUAUCACUCCUUAGGUGGUAGUGGCCCCAAGUUCAGUAAAGUUGGAAAGAUAUUCACAGAUUCGGGCUUCCAGCAUCAAUAACUCGUUAGAUAUAGGUUGUCAAAACAUAAACGGUGCCUCUUUCCCAUUGUUGCAAGGCAGACAAUGUGCUACAAGCCCAGUUUUAUCAAAAGUAGCUGUCUUUCAAGCUACAGGAAUAACAUUGGUGUCUAUGGAGUGAACAGGGUCCGUCUGCAAUUUGCACAACCGCUGCAACAGUUCCACUGAACACACAAACUAACACACAACACAGCAGUGGACGUGCUUUCAUGUUGUGGGUUUUCUUGGUGAGACAAUAAAUAGUUGUCUGACUCGUUCUUAACCAGGAAGCUUGUGUUAAGUUGUGAUUAUCCCCAGUUGACAUGGACGUGUUUCCUGAACAAUCACCAGGUGUUAAACACCUGACAGGAUGACAGUGAUCUAUGUGGAUGAAGCAGAAUGCUUGUCCAGCUAACUGGUAGCACAAUGAGUAAAACGACGGUGGUCUCGUAAUUUUAUCGCUGGAUUACGUGGGUUCGAAUCCUCUCACCGUACUUGAAAAAUACGUGUUUUUUAUUUCGGCCCGCACGUUUCUUUUUACUGUCUGUAGAUGAUAUUUACAUGAAUAUAGAUUUUAUUAAGUAGUGAUGCCGGCGUUUUUCGGCGAGGUCUUCUUUAUCUAGUAUCUUUAUUUCACGUAAAUCCAGGUCUGACCGCGACGAAUCUGCGGACGAAACAUCUGGAGACGGAAACUAUCGCCAAUUAACCUGAUCACCAGUUAAACUGGAACACCUGACUCCCUCCAUGACGGGUCGCCACGCAGGAUUCAUUGUACGAUGCAGAGGUGAUCCAGACUUCCCAACAUUCCUACAUUACCACUGUAUCAUUCACCAGCAGGACAUAUGUAUGUACAAAAGUGGCCGGAUUUGAUCAUGUGAUGACUCCUGUCAUAAAGAUCAUAAAUGGCUUCAAAGCCAAACAACCAGGACAUUGAAGGUGCUGCUGGAGGAGCUGUCAGCUGCACGUGGUGACCUGUUACUACACACAGAAACCCCAUGGAUCAGCAGGGGAACAGUUUUGCAGCGUUUUUUGUCACUGUUGGCCGAAAUCAAAGAGUUGAUGCGAUCCAAAGGGGAAGACAGCUCGCUGCUUGAGGACACUGAGUGGAUUCUUGCUCUCGCAUUUUUAAUGGACAUCACUGGGAAACUGAACCAUCUGAACUGUGAGCUGUAAGGUAAAGGUAAGACAUGAUAAGCUCUGCAAUGCCAGGCUUCCCACUAACACACAUUUACAGACAAAGAAAGAGGUAACAUAUGUUGUCAUUCAAAACACCGUGCCAUUACACAAAAAUGUGAAAAAUAAUUUGUUGAAAACAUGUAAUGAUUUGUUGUUACGAUCUGUUAAAAAUGUUGCAAUGCUGGUGAAAAAUGCUGGUGAUUAGUACUAUAAUGUGACAGGAUUCAUUUCAAAAUGUGAGAGUUGAUUUUUUUUUCUUACGUAACUGAUAAUUUGUACAAACAUGGGACAGAGUUCAUGAAUUGUUCAAAAAUGUUACAAAGGUAGUGGUUUGCACAAAUGAAGCAUGAUUUGAUGACAGUUAAUGAUUUCCUAAAAAUGUUAGUAGUGACAAUUUGCACAGAAAUGUAACUGGUGUGAUUUUGAACAAAAUGCUGCAAAUAUGCUGAUUCAUACAAAACUGCCAAGAAAGAUAUUUACCAAAGUUUCAGAGAUAAGAUACCUCUGACUUUUAAAUAUUGGAAAAGAUUUCCAUAUAUAUGUGUGUGUGUGUGUGUGUGUGUGUGUGUGUGUGUGUGUGUGUGUGUGUGUGUGUGUAUUUCCUACCGUCAUUGUUGUGGAAAUCGUUAUUAUUGUAAGGAAUAAUUAACAUAAAUGGGAUCAGACAGUCUUUUUACAUACUAUUUUCAUUAUUAUUGUUUAAAGAUGAUGGCACAAGUUUGCUAUUGAGGAAGUUUGUAUCAAACAAGGCACCUUUUGUACUACUCAGUACCCUUGAAGUUGCUCUCAGGUUCAUAAAGGUUGGUUACCCCUGUGCUAGCCCAUCAUGUAUGAAAAAAAGCCACACCUGUGCAUCAGAAUGAUGAUUUCCAUCCAGUAGAUGUCCCCAACAGUGCUGUUCCAAUGGGUGCAACCACGUUAGGUGCGUUCUCUCUAUUUUCUGGCAGGACUGAGCAUGAAUGCUUGGAUAAGGAAUGGAUAGACGAUAAGAGUAAAGGCAGCAUUGCAGGAAAUUAGUUUUUUGUAUUGACAUGUUUGGUUUGAUAAAGUGGUAGAGGAAAAUGACAAAAAUGACUGAUAUAUAUGUCAUCCAAUCUGUAGCCAAAUAGACAUGUGACUAUACAGUUUUUAAAAAUAUCUUUAGUAUAUACAUAUGCAAUCAAUCAAUCAAAUUAUCCCUGACACCCUCACCAGAGUAAAACACAAAGGAUUUUAAAAAUGUUAUUAAGUGGGGAUGGUUCUGAUGCAUUAUUCAUGAAUUCAUAUAUUCCUCCGUUCCUUCCUUUCAUUUUCGUAGUUAAUUGUUAACUGAGGCUGUCAUUCUGGCGCUUUACUGAUGUAUAGAUUUUUCAUUGUUGUCAGAUUAUUCAGCCAUGAACCUGAUGGCAGUCACUGUGUUUAUUUGAAUUCCCAUGAGCACUGUCUGCUACAAAGUGGGUGGAUGAUGACGAGGUUAGCCAGUUCAGUUAUGUUUCAUUCUGGUAUAUUUUUGGCAGGAAUACUGUAAACAUGAAGAGACACCUUGGGGUUCUAACUCAUACAAUCUAGCAAGGAAAAAUAAUCUGAUCAGCCUUAACAUAAACAUUACCUGCCCCACUAUAGUAAUAGUAGGUCCCCCUUAUACUACCAAAGCCGUUCUUUCUCUUUGGGGUCUCCAUCUUUUUAUCCCUGUGGUUUGUUAGGGUUGUGCUUCUGUAGGUCAGACUUGUUUCAGGUUGGGACCUGGAGAAUAUGGAAGUCAAGUCAAUGCCUUGGACUCUUUGUUGUGCAUUCAAAAGUGACAUUGCUGUGGGUUUUGUUACCCUCGACAAUGUUUAGGUUGGUGGUGUGUGUCAAAGUAACAUCCACACGAAUGCUUGAACCCAGUGUCUCCAGGAGGACAUUGGGUUGUAACAAGAUGAUCAACAAGAUGUUAUACAGUGGUUUUAAUAUUGUGGCUGAUUGGUGUAGGUGAGCACACUAUAAUUACAGUUAUACUACAAUGAUUUUAUUACAGCAUUCAUUUUAUUAUUUUCGUUUUAAUAACAACGAAACUUUUAAUAGGAGCAAAUGUUUUUGUUAUUCAAGUAGAGAUAGCAAAUUUGUUUCUUCUUCCAAAAACUUCAAACAAGUCUAGCAACAUAAUAUGAUUUUAGUGGUGUCUGUAUCUAUCAGCUUAACUUCAGUUUCCAAGACAACAUGGUUUGUGGUUAGAACCCAGAAUUACAAUUUGAACCUUGAGUUUUCUUAAUAAAACAUUGACAAUCUGAAAUAUUAUGUAAAACAAUUUAUCAAUCUGACUUGAAGGAUCCUGAAGAAAACCCGCUGAACUUUGACAACAUUACAAAGGAGCUAAUCACAAGUUGAUUCAUUUGUCAGAGUUUUCUGGUGUAAAACUGAUAUAAAUGUUCCUCUUAAUACAGACAGGAAAACACUUUAUCUACAAAGGUAGAUCUACUGAAUCAUACUUUUAUAGACAAUGAAAUGCUGACAGCAAUAGUGCCGCUACUGUACAUGAUGAAUAGAGCCGGCACAGGCAGAGAAAACAUUACAGCAAUUUGGUGAGAGUAGGGAGAGGACAACCUAAAUAUCUGUCUGUGACUUUGCACACUGUGCCCAGAGGGGCCUGUACAGAGGGGCAUUAUUUUUCAUAACUCAUAUUCAUAGACAAUUAUAUUACUCUGGGAGAAAAAUUGAAAUCCACAGAGUAUAAUAAAAGCCCCCUGCCUUGUCAGAAAAACUUCUGCACCUUUGAUUUUUAAAUGCCGCCAGCAUUGGUGAAAAGAAACUUUACUCACUUGGGAAACUGUGGUGUCCCAGCGUUUAAGCUGAUCUUGCAUUUAUCGGUACAACUGCUUAAGGUGUAUGGGUGGGCGUUGUUUUGGAUGUUGCAACAUCUUCAAUGGAGUGGCCAUAUCAUUAACGCUAUAUUAUCUAAAUGCUCUCCAAGUCACUCCUCGAGGAUUCCAGGACUGUAACAUUAUGCAUUAGCUUAAUGAACUUUCCCAUCAGGCUCAUGGGAAUGGGCAGUGGCCCCAAAGGGACAAUAUGGACCUUGAGGUUAAGGGAAAUGAAGCCAAAGUGUCUGAUUAAGGUGCUGGGCAACCACAUCCCACUGGACCAACUUCAAGGCACCUUGGCAUUGAUUCUCCAAGUCUCUGGAACCCUACUGGAGGGAUGAACACCAUUCUUGCUAAAGAUAUUUCCUGAUUUAGUGUUUUUAUGAAGGUGGCAGAGGGGUUGUGCAAAAUUUAAUAGCAGUUGCCUCCAGGUUUAAGAGGUGUUUGGACUUACAGAACCUAAUUUAUACCAAAACAGUACUUCCUGCCUCAAGUCCUUGAGCUUUUCUGGAACUCUUGCAUGAAAACUUGUGUGUCUGGACAUCAGCCAUCCACUUUCCAAUUUCCUACACUAGAUGGCAGUCAAACAUAAACAUUUAAAAGCCAUGAAGCUCAGACAGCAGUUGAUGCCAGGCAUGUUCACAUCCAUCGAAAGGUUUCUGGUGAAAAUCUACAUCUCUGUCAUGCUAGAAACAGAUUAUGAAUGCACACUCACUGAUCUCCAAUUCAUCUUUCAUUCUGAUGCCACCUUCAGCCCUUGAGAUCAGCUUAAUGAAAAAAGGCAUGAAGCUUGAAGAGUUGUCAAUGUUAAAGUGAGUGUCAGAGUACAUGAACAUGCUGGCUCCAUGCUUAUGUUGGCCUGUAUAGCAGAGAAUCAUUGAAAUGUAUUAUUAGUUCAUUAACUAUUCAGGAGCAUGCGGACAAUCAGAACAGAAGUCAGUGGAUGUUAUACUUUUCUUUUUUUUAACAUAAAGAAACUUAGUGUUUCUUGCAGAAGACAGAGGAAAGGCUCAACACACAUAAGUCUCCACCUUACAAUUUUGCUGCACUUGAAACAGACAAACGUUUCACUAUCACCACCUCCCACUUUCACCCUCUCACUGGUUAUUAAGCCUGCAGCAGAGACUCAGCACAUCAUUACUAAAUUACUGAUUACAGGCGUAAAGCAAUACAAAUGAGGAGGUUGCCCCUGAUGCUUAAUUGGUAGGAUGUAAUAACGGAGCAGUGAUAUGUGGGCCCUUAAUUGUGUGUUUACUGCACUAUUUAUUGGAGGGCGUCCCUCCCCUGGCUGGUUGCUGAUGAGGUGAGCCGUGUUUCCGCUGGCGUGCUAUCAAUCCUGCUUCAUUAAGGACACACAAGAUAGGAAGUGAGAACAGCACAGAGUUUGCCUUCCAGAUUGACGUGGGCAGAGGAGUCAGGCUUGUUUAUGAAUUUCAAGUUCCCACUGACAUAAAAUCCAUGCAGAAAAGCAAUCACAAGAAAAGAUGGUCAUUUAUCUGCUGAUUCGUAGCUUUUUCAAGUUAAUACUAAACUAAGGUGACUUUAAAUUAAAUAACCACUUUCUAGUCAUUGAAAUCUCAAUUUUCCCUAAAGACUACCUAUUAUUUUUAACGUGAUUUUUUUUUUUUUUGGCCUUUAUUGUAGUGGACAGUGGAGAAAGACAGGAAAAGACCUGCAGCAAAUGGCCAUGGGUCAGACUUGAACCAUGGCCACUGCAUCAGAGACUAUAGCCCCUGUUCAUGGGUCACCCGCUCAACCAGUUGAGCUACCAGAGCACCCUAUUUUUAAUGUAAUGUUGUUUGUCAAUGCAGGUGUAAAUGUCAGUGGAAGAAAAUGGUAAAAGUUAACCUUAUAUUUAUGUAAGACAAGAGGUCACUACAAAAGCUGUAUUUUGAAGAGACACAUAACAAUCUAAGACCUGCCAUGCGAUGGGAUAUUCCUCUAGCAUUGCAGCAGUCAAGACAACAUGUCUUUAAAAAUGGGUAAAUAUCCAACAUUGUCAAUUUAUUGAAUAUUCAAAAUGGAGGCUGCAGUGGAGACUGUUUAUGCCAGCAGCCAGUCUACGAAGGUUAUUUGUCUCAUUGCUCUACAGCACUUCGAUUUACAGGAUCUCCUCAGGUGAAACACGUUUAUCUAAGUUGGGUAAAAUAAAAAGCUUAUUUAUAAGGAAAGUAUGUUCUUACUUCACACCAAUCACAUGUAUAAUGAAUCUGCCUUUUUUUCUGAUAUAGCUAAGCCUUUUUUGCACAGACUGAUGACCUUACUAAGAUUAGUAACUUACUUAAGAUCAGUCUUAAGAUCAAAGCCACUUUUUGAAGGUCUUUGUUUCAUUGCAGAAUUGACCGCAAACCCAGGGUUUUAUUUCGUGACCGCAACGGUGGGGAUAUCACUCAAUUGCCUGCCAUUUGUCUGAUUUAUAUAAUGUUAAUAUUAUUCUGAUAGGAUGGAAGGCAUCCUGAUUCAAAUGCAGCUAAUAACUUGACUCGUUUCUGCAUUGAAAGUUUAGUUACUUUUAAUGGCUGUCACUUUUUCUACAACACCCUCACCUGCCGACGACUAGAGAAGCCAUGACUGUCUUGGAAGAGUCAGCCCAACCUAAAAACAAAAAUCAAAAAGCUGAAUACUAGAAUUCAUUUGCAAAACAGCAUCCAAAAGAAAACACAAAGCAGUAUGUCAGUUCUGAAAUGCAACACUUAGUCACAUGGCUUGGACCAUGUCAAUUUUUUACUGGUACUUAGAAAGUAAGAAUGAGGAAAGGUAAGACAGGCUUGCAAGAACAGUCCCCCGUAAUCUCCUUUUCCCCUCACCCAAAGACAUUUAGGGAAUACUAGCUAUACAAACAGUUUAACUACCUUUAACUAAGUGUGUAAUGCAUUUCGGGACUCACACUGAUCUGGUCCUAAGGAGUGCACUAUGAAGCGUGUUCCACAUGGCCAGCCUUUCUUUGUGUUAGAUAGCUCAACAAAGCUUUAACCCCCAAUCAGAGAUAUUAAGCAGCACAAUGGUGGUUAUUGACUUUCUUUGUGAGCCCAGGUUUUCUUCAUCAGGCUUUGUGCACAUGUCAGUAAAUGGGGGCGUUUGACCUCUGUUUUUCCACACAAAACACAUUGAUUGUGUGUGUUCCCUACGUCAGUCAGUGUAUUACCACAAAAAGCAUGGUUAUUGCUGCAGACUUGACAGCAAAUCAGAAUCAAACAUAAAAACAUAUUUAUACAUUUUCUACAUUCCUGACUGAAUGCAUGUAGAUUCCUGCGACAAUUCAUCGCAUAUAGUUUGGGCUACUGUAAUUGUACAACUUCAUUCAGUGACAUUACUAACACACAGCUCAACAGGUUUGCAGAGACAAUGUAUCCCCUUCAACUUAGAGGUCUAUAUUACUCCUAGUGAAUAACGUCAGGAGAUUUUAACUCAACCAUUCAAAGUCUUGGUCUUGUUUGAGCUUGGUCAUCACUUGGUCUGUAAUUAAGAUAUGAUAUGAUAAGAGCAUUCAAUUCAAUUUAAUUCAGUAAUUCAGUUUUAUUUAUAUAUUGCAGAGUCACAAAAUGUGUCAUCUCACCAUGCUUAACAUACUAAUGUUGCCCAGUGUUUUUAAAGAGCAAAAUAUUCAUAAUUUACACAAUGUAUGGAUAUUGUACCAAAGAAAUGUAAGACAGUUUUGGGUUUUUUUUUGGUCCAGUGUGCGGUCUAAAACAGCAGUGGGAAGGAAGGAAGAAAAGUGGUCAGGGCUACAGAACUAACUGGAGUUUUGGUUAAUUUUGAGGUUGUUUAUAAGAAGCAAGCAUGUUUGUACAUAUGGGCAUGCAAGAGUUCUCUUUAUACUUGAAUUUGUUUGCGUGGUCCAUGGCUACUGUGGGUGGAAGACUGUCAUCUGUUGCAGAAAUGUUGUUUCUAACCCCCCGAGGCCCAGUUCAGUGAAAAAGUCUGGGCAUUAGUAAUGAUAGACCCAUGUCAUCUUCUGGUAAUGGGAUCGUUUCUUUAAUCAUCUGGCACCCCUGGACAUUCCUGGUAGAUUUCCUCUCAAAGAUUUGCUCUCAUUCAGCAGGGUCUCUUUAAGGAAAUCAACACUUUGCAUCUAAAAGUGACAGCUCGGUUCUAUAUGUUCUUUAAAUGUUCAGCAUUAAUUGCCCAUCUACAUCUGCAGCCUGGUAUUUUAUCAAAAACACCGGUGUGAAUUCAUAAACCAUGCCAGUUUGUUUGACUUAAAGAUGAUUUGGGUUGUCAGGGAAACCACAGUUUUCAGUGUCCGUUAGUCUGCAUCUAUUUACUGCUCACACUGAUCAGAUGGUUUGUGCCUUUUUAUAUAGACGCCAUUCAACGAGAGCUGUGAUAACUGAUACAGACAGCAGGGCAGUGGUGAAGUCCACACCUCUGCACAAUGUAUACCACGCGUGUUGAAGUCAAUUAUAAAUCUAGUUAGACUCAUUAGUCCAUCUUACAGACUGAAUUAGCUUUUGCUGAAGAAAUUUUAAAGAUCUUCAAUUAAGUGCUCACCAGGCUAAUUGCCCUCCAUUUUAAAACAAGCUCUAAGGAUCUAUCAGCUGUUGAGAAAAGCCUUAAUUGACACUCUGGUUAGAUGCAUGUAUUGCUGCCGUGGAGAUUUCUUUAACGCCAGUAUAGACAUCUAAAUAUGAAAUCAGUAUACACUGAAAGGUAAAGAUGAUUAAACUGACUUUUAUCAGCAUCUUCAAACAAAUAUAUCACGGUGACCCUUUCAGGACACGUAGAGGGGGAAACCCAAUAGAUAUAUCCGCUCUGAUGAUAGUUUGCUUUCAUUUCUACUUUCUGCUUGUAGGCAUCACAUAUUUUGAAUUUCCCAGUCUUAGCGAGAAUGCACAGUUGCUCAUGGGAAAUCUACCCGAGGCUUGCAUAAAGCAAGGCCAAUCAAAAUAAAUUGGGAAGGCUCCUGUCACAUCAAGUGCAGCUGCUCCACAGUCAUGUUUUCAUUUCUGACCUCCCUGUAGAGAGAUGAAAAAGGACUUUUUACAGGGUUUCCAGUUACUAAAGUGGUACUGCAUCUUUUCUGGGUCUUAUAUAUCCGUGUAAUAUUUGAUAUGGAAAAAUACAGACAAAAAAAUGUUUAAAUGAAAGAUAAAUCUCUGUCUGACAUCACAAAAUAUCACAUUUUUAAAAUCAUUUGAUAUAUGUGUCAGCCAGCAGUGGAUAGCAACUACACAUUUCUGUGAGUAUUUGACUAUUUUGAUUUGCUGCUACUUUUGUACUCCAUUACUUUUUGUGAUUUUGUGAGAGAUUAUUUAAAAGCAAUAGUUACUAAUCGUUAUUCUGCACAAAAGUAACUAAUAAAAUACAUCAAAUGCAUUGCUACAGAUUAAUUUACUCAACAGCACAUUUGAUAAAAUUAGCUUGUCAUAAAAAUAACAGCAACAAAAUAUGCUGCUUAAGUGAACAUUAAUUAGCAGUGUAGUUGAGGUAUAAAAGUGGAAGACUUUAAGUUGUAAUGGAAUAUUUUUACACUGUGUUCUUUUCUUUUGCUUGCAUAAAAUACUAUUACAUCUAAAAUAACAGUUCACCUAAUUUAAUAAAACAGUUUUAGUUUGCAUUGUGUCAGAGAAGUAUGUGUUAUUUGCAACAUAGAGCAUACUGUGUAAGAUAGCCUCUAUUUAGUAAAUAUCAUUACAAGUGAGAGGCACAGUACAGAAAAAAAUAUUUUUAAUGAUGCAGAUAAAUGCAUUUUAUUGUCAGAUAUGAAUGUAAUCCAGUUUCCCAUAUCCAGUUCCAUGUCACACUAGUGUGCCUGAGGUGUAAAGGUAGCUCUAGAAAAAACAUGUAAAAUCAUAAUUUUGCAUGUUUUAAUUGCACAUUCUCGGAAGAACAGCAUCAGUAUGAAAAAGACAUGCCAAUGGAUAAUGUUAGAAUAACAUGGAACAGGCAGUGUGUUAUAGGGGCGUCGCACUUAUCAACUGGACAAAGACGAUUGCUGAAUAGAAGCUGAAUAAAGCACAUAAAUGUAAGAAAGAAUGGAAAAAGACUGUUUUUUUUCCCAAAAUCUACCAUCUUAUUGUAAUUUUUCUCAUGUGAUUUUUCUUUGUAUCCAAUUUCAAUUCAUUCCACUACCUUUUGUCCAUUCGUUCUGUCAUUCUUUGCCAGUCCUUUCUCCUCUCCUCUCC